rnacentral:rRNA from 1 species
UGGAGUAUGUUGUUUAAUUCGAAGAUACACGAAGAACCUUAACCAGGUCUUGACAUACCAUUGACAGGCGCAGAGAUGUGCUCUCCUUCGGGCAAUGGAUACAGGUGGUGCAUGGUUGUCGUCAGCUCGUGCCGUGAGGUGUUGGGUUAAGUCCCGCAACGAGCGCAACCCUCAUUGUUAGUUACUACCAUUCAGUUGAGGACUCUAAUGAGACUGCCAACGAUAAGUUGGAGGAAGGUGGGGAUGACGUCAAAUCAUCAUGCCCUUUAUGACCUGGGCUACAAACGUACUACAAUGGCCAAUACAAAGAGAUGCGAAGCGGUGACGUGGAGCGAACCUCAGAAAGUUGGUCUCAGUUCAGAUUGAAGUCUGCAACUCGACUUCAUGAAGGCGGAAUCGCUAGUAAUCGCGGGUCAGCAGACCGCGGUGAAUACGUUCCCGGGUUUU